GAAUCAAUUUACUGGUCGUGCCUAUGGUACGUACUGGUUUUAUUGGUUUCUCCCUUCUGAGGAGCUACGAUGUCAUUAAUUUGGUGUCGUGGGGAAUCAGGACUGUUACUUUGAAAAAAUUAGAGUGUUUAAAGCAGGCAUUUUUGCUCGAAUACAUUAGCAUGGAAUAAUAAAAUAGGACGGUUGGUUCUAUUUUGUUGGUUUCUAGGAUCACCGUA
rnacentral:rRNA from 1 species